UACGUAGGGUGCAAGCGUUGUCCGGAAUUAUUGGGCGUAAAGAGCUCGUAGGCGGUUUGUCGCGUCUGCUGUGAAAACUCGGGGCUUAACUCCGGGCCUGCAGUGGGUACGGGCAGACUAGAGUGCGGUAGGGGAGACUGGAAUUCCUGGUGUAGCGGUGAAAUGCGCAGAUAUCAGGAGGAACACCGGUGGCGAAGGCGGGUCUCUGGGCCGUAACUGACGCUGAGGAGCGAAAGCGUGGGGAGUGAACAGG
rnacentral:rRNA from 1 species